CCCCCCCCCCCCCCCACUUUUUUACAGGGUUCAAUCCAACUAAACAGGCUCAUUGGAGUGCUUACAUGACCUAUUAUUCAAUUGAAGCUUGAGGCAUUGUCGAUGACCAUAUAAUUUAUAUGAAUGGAGCUAUCAACUACCAGCACUCGGAGUUUUCAGGCAUUGUUGAUGACCAUGUAAUUUAUAUGAAUGGAGGUAUCAGUUACUAGCACUUGGGGUUUUCAGGCAUUGUCCAAAAUACCCGUGUUUUAUUUAGGAAAAAGAAAAAAAAUGCAAGAAUUUUUAGGUGUUGGUCAAAAUUUAAUGGAAUUUACAAAAAUACCCAUGCCUGAAUCUUUUAAUUUUUUAUAAUUUUUUAAAAAAUAAAAAAUAAACACAUGGGUAUUUUGAGAAUUUUGACAGGGUUUAAUGAAAAAUUCUAAUUAAGGUUGAAAAUUUCAUUAAAUUGUGACCAACACCUAAAUCCUUUAAAAAAAAAAAUUUAUUUUUUUCUUUUUUUACCUAAAAGAAGCACGGGUAUUUUGGAAAUUUUGACAGGAUUUAUCAGAAAAUUUUAACUAAGAGUUGAAAUUAAAAAAA